GGGGGUGUAGCUCAUCCGGUAGAGCGCGCGCAGCGAAUUAUCAUUACACCUAAAACUCUCUCUCCUAGCGUUGCUUUUCCAUCAGCGUUGUCGAGAGGUACUGGGUUCGAGUCCCAGCACCCCCA